rnacentral:lncRNA from 1 species
AUCUUCAAGGUGCUCAAGCAGGUCCACCCCGACAUCGGCAUCUCCUCCAAGGCCAUGUCCAUCAUGAACUCCUUCAUCAACGACAUCUUCGAGAAGCUGGCGGCGGAGGCGGCCAAGCUCGCGCGGUACAACAAGAAGCCCACCAUCACCUCCCGCGAGAUCCAGACCUCGGUCCGCCUCGUCCUCCCCGGCGAGCUCGCCAAGCACGCCGUGUCAGAGGGCACCAAGGCCGUCACCAAGUUCACCAGCUCUUAGGCGAUGCGGUUGUCUUCUCGUGGUUGGUUCACCCCUGUAGUAGGAUGGUUGUUGCAGCGGCGGUAGUUGCCCUGCUUUCCUGUAUCUCCAGUACUUGGUCGCCUGAUUAAUGUAAGAAGUGUGCGCGUGUGCUUUCGUG